GGAAUUUUGAUGAUGAGAGAAAAUCAAUAACUCCCAGACUCACAGCUUCCUCAGCUCAUUGCCAGUAAGUUAUGAAAGAAGCCUAGUGGGUCAGUCUGGGGAAUGUGCCGGUUUAUCUCUCGCCCCCAGUGUGGAUUUUUUGCCAGGUGGGCUUCCGAAGCUGUCUUCCCCACCCCCCAUCACCUAUUGAGAGUCACUACAUGACCCAAGAGGCUGGCUGCUUUACAUUCUCUUUUGUGACAUCAGCAUGACUCAUUUCUUCUUGAAAAAUAUUGCUUGCCUUAAGCGAGUGCUAACCGGCUUGUGUUUAGAAGGGCCCUGUACUGCCUUUAGCUAAGGAUGUUACUAUCUUAUUUAUAUUACCUUCUGUGUAGUUAUUUCAUUUAGGCUUUCUCUGAGGAAGGAAUGGCCAAAUUGUCUGAAAGGAACAUUCUGUUUCCUGAAUAGGAAUUUCGCGGCCACAGCUUAUCUCAGCAAGAAUCAUAUAUUUGUGACGACAUGAGCCAGAUUCCCAUACUAUGUAAUUUUACUGGAAUUCUCCUGCAGUAACUUAAUGCUGACCUUAUGAUUCUUUCUAUGAUGAUAUCCUACAGUCUCCUCUUUGAGCUUGGAUGCUGGCAAGAGAAGCUCAAGUUGGCUGAACAAUACAGGAUGAAAGUUUGUAAGUGGGGAAGGCCCCGCACAGAUUUGGAAAAACUCAGAAUGUGUUUUCAGAAGGGGAUGGCGAAAGUUCCCAAAUUAUUCAAAUUGAGUUCACUUAGAUCAUUGGGACUGUAUUUAUUGAUAUUGAGAGUGCUAAUCAAUAGGAGUUUGGAACCCUAUUUCAGGGGGCUCACAUUGGUGGUCCGCAUACACUAGAGUAAGAACCUCUGAUCUGUCAGAUGCUCCAUUUACAGAUAAAGAAACUGAUGGGAAUCGACUUGUUCAAAGUCAUGUGGUCAAUAAGCAUCAGAGGCAGAAUUAGAAUCUAAUUCUUAUAAUUCCUAGGUCCUUUCUACCAAGCCCUGUCCCAGGAAGCCAGCAUCCUGUCCCCUCUCCAUGGCUCCAUUCCCACUAACGGCUCUAGGGCACACUGGAACAGACAGAAACCGUUGGCAUCUAGUGCACGUCUUCUUCAGGAGCCCAUCCCCUUGGUUCCAAUCAGGAUUAGGUUCCUCUUGGCUGGAGGAAGCUAAGCCUGUCAUGAUUCCUCCUUUUUCAUUAGUCAUCUCCUUGACCUCUCUCCCUUUCCCAGGACCCUGGUCCUCAGGGUCAUCAACAUUGAUUUGUGCGAGAGGCCGAGUCCAGCUGACUUCAGUGCUGGUCAAAAGCCCAGGAUGGGUCCAUGCAGAGGCAAAAGGAAACUUGGCUGGAGGAGGCAUGGGGAUUUGAACACAGUGUGAACCGGGAAGGCUGCUUCAGCCCAACCAAACACCAGCAAACUGCACCCAGCACAGCAGAGCAGCUACACCCAGGUCAAGUGAUGGGAGUGGCAGGACUCUCCCACUGCAUCUCUCCUGACUGAGCUGCCCAACAGCAUCUCCAGAGACUGGGGCUUAGAUACGCGGAUAUGAUGCUCUGGCACCUUGAGUGGUAUUGUGCACUGGCUGGAGUAUGGAGACCAGAAAGACCAGUUCUCGGGGUGGAAUAAGUGAUGUGAAGUAUGGCAUCUGGGUCCCUGCCCAGCCCAUGGGCCCAGAGAGGAAGGCCCAGGCCACAGAAAGGCUAUCCUGCAGCCCUAGGUGAGGGGAGACUUGGCUUCUCUCAUCCUUGGGAUGAGAUUUUUUUUUUUUAAGGAAGAUUAGCCCUGAGCUAACAUCUGCUGCCAAUCCUCCUCUUUUUGCUGAGGAAGCCUGGCCCUGAGCUAACAUCCGUGCCCAUCUUCCUCUACUUUAUACGUGGGACACCUACCAUAGCAUGGCUUGUCAAGUGGUGCCACAUCUGCACCUGGAUCCGAACCUGCGAACCCCGGGCCACCGAAGCUGAACGUGCGAACUUAACCGCUGCGCCACAGGGCUGGCCCUGGGGUGAGAUUUCUUAUACCCAACCAGCGGUUCCAGGCACCGAAACUUACUUAGGUAAUAGGGCUUUGGUUUUUUAAAGAAGAGAUGACCCCAACUUAAAAAAAAACAGCUUUAGUUUUAGUUUUGUUUAAAAAAUAAAGUCUAAAAAAUAAGUCUAAAAAGCCACCCAGGCUCAGACCCAACUGGUAUUUUUUUAGAAAUUUUGACUGCUGAAGUUUUGUGUUUCAGAUUUUCUUGGUUACAAUCUAAAUGUUUGAAUAAUAAUGGUGAUGAAAAGAUCUUUCAUGCUGAUCGUGCUUGGUAUAUGAUAAUCUUCACAAAAAUCAAGGAAAAAGCUCAUAAUCCUCACAAAAAUGUAAUUUUAACUGAUGAAGACACUCCAAGUUGGAGAAGGUGAGUGAUUCUCCCUGUGAGAAAGCGGCGGAACUGGGCUUGCAACUGAAGCCUGCUGUUGAGACAGCUCUUUUCAGGACUCUGAAAGUGGCCCCCCGCCAGCCGUGCACUAUUUGCCUCGAACCCUUUUUAGGAGGCGGAAGGGUACAAAUACACUAAUACAGCAUUAGUAUAUGGGUUCAAAAUUGUUAGAAUUGCAUCAGACCCCGCAGCCUCGACAUAUUUUUGUUUCGUUUAUCUCAUUUGUUCUUUCCCACUAAGUCACUGUGUCCCUAUAUUAUAGGAAAAGGAAGUUCCUUUUUAUAGGAAGCUCGGAUGGUGACUUGCCCGAGGCCACACUAAUAGCAAGAGGCAGAGAGUAGACUCCGAUCUCACCCCCAGCUUGGGUUCCACAUCUCUCUCCGUUGUGUCAGGUUGUCCUUCCCUGUAACAACAAUUAUGGAGCAAAUUGUAGAAAUUGGCCACCAAGGGACCCCACUCCCUAGGUCCACACGCUUUGCAACAUGACUUGCUGCUUUCCAUCAAGACGUGGAGCCUCUCUCCCCAUCCACUGAGUGCAGCUGGCCUUGGGACUCGCUUGGACCAGUAGAAUGUGAAGGAAGUGCUGUUCUGAGGUUUCCAAGCUCAGACUGUAAAGCGGCUUUCCGGCUUCCACUUUUCUUCUCGGAACCCAGCUGUCACGUAAAGAAGUCCAGGUUAUCCCGCUGGAGACAGAGGCCACAUGGAAGAGAAAUAGGCACCCCAGCUAACAGCCAACACCAAGGCCCCAGUCGCAGGGGAGGCCGUGUGGAGACACUGGAGGAAGAUGGCCAUCUAUAAGCCAAGGAGAGAGGCCUUAGAAGAAACCACCUCACCUUGAUCUUGGACUUCUAGCAUCUGAAAUUGAACCAAUUGGGAGACUGAGCUCAAGGAGUCGCUACCACCUGGGCUCGUUUAGCUGGAUGGGGCAUGGCUGCUGCACACAGAACAAAAGUGAAGGACAAUACCUGUUCCUGAGGAUGCGAUGCUUACCCAAGAAGAUGUUGAACAUGAGGGAUGCUUUGUGACCAAGAAAUUACAGUCUUCUGAGAGGACUCUGGCAGAGAGCCCUGUAUGGAGGAGGAGGUGCUCCUUGGGAGACCCCUUUGAAGAGUAAGAAGGGAGUGGGGGGUUUGAGGAGGGCUGAGCAGGUGAGAGCCGGCCAGAGGAGACUUGCUGAGCUGGUACACAUCAUGGGAGGAAGACGAGGAAAACCAGGCUGCGAUAAGGUGAGCCUCUGAAAGCCAUUUGUCAGGCUUUUCCCCAAGGAGGGACUGUGCCCUGAGAGGUGGACUAAUGGGGGUACUUUAGGUUUAAUGGAGGACCUUUCAAGGACCUCUUGAUGUGCUGCGUCUCUCCAUCUCAUCAGCGAUUCUUCUGUGCCCAAGACACCCUGAGAGACACUGGAGUUAUGAAAAGGUAUGCACUAUCUCCACCUUCAUAGAGCCGACGAUACCUCUGAGGGGACCAGACCUUCACAAAGACAUGCACAAUCUUAUUUGUUUAGCGAUGGAACUUUGUGGAAACAUGGCUAACGCAGCACAGUGUAUGCUAUGUAGAGGAUGAAUCAGACCGCCAAAACCAUAGUCUGAUUCACUACUUGACAAUCUUUUUCUCGAACAAUGAGCUAUUUUUCAAAUGUAAAUGAAUUUAAAAUUUCUCUGAAAUGACCAAAGACCCCUUUUUGUUUUCAAAAGGGAAAUGUACAGUAUACCCAGGGAGCUGGCUUCCCAGUUUCUUUUCUCUCUGCUCAUAAAGGCAACAGUGGAAUAAGGCUUCAGAGGGGCUCUGUGCUCCGGAUGCCACAUGAUAUGGGCAGCAGGUUCCACACUGACCUCUUGGGCAGACGAAGUGGAGCUGGCUGAACAUUUCUCGCUGUGCCUGAACUGUUCUCUCUGUGCUUUUCCCCUCAAACUUUCCCUUUGGUACCAGAGCCCUUUAGGGAUGACUCAUGCAUUUACUUAUUUAUUUAUUCAGCACAUACUUUGACCCCCAUCUAUGUGUCAAGCACAGUAUAAGCCACUGGGUAUCUCAUGAUAUAUAGGCUCAAAUAGUCCCUGCACGCAAGGAUCUUAAAAUCUAGUGAGAGAGACAACGUUAUUAGUGUAACAAUAAUUAUACACAUUAUUUUGCUGUGUAAUAUUGCUGCCUAAACAUUACAGUUAGAUUAACUAUAAGAUAAUUUAUAAAAUCCCAACAACUAAUGAACAUGGGUGGUCAUUUUCCCAAAGCCACGCACACGUCAUAAUUUAAUUAUACUGAUGAAAACGACACUGGCAAAGAACAGGGUGAUGAGAGAAUAUAGUGGCCGCCUAUCCUAGCCCGUACGGUCUGAAGAAAGCUUUCCUGAGAAAGUGACUUUUAGAAUAAAACUUAAAGAAUGAAUAAAAGUUGGCCAGGGGAAGGGGAAGUAAAGAUGAAGAACAGAAUGUGGCCCAGGCAGAGGGAACAGGACAAACAAAGGCCCUGGGGCCUUUGAAACUAGUCCCAGUGGAUUUGUGAACUCUUUCAGAGAUGCUCCACGCUGGUCCCCUUAUACUUUUCAAAGAAAGAAAGUUCAAGAUGCUUCCAACUUCCCACGUUUAUAUGCUAUCAGCUUAUUCCCAGCUCCCCCUGCUUUCCCCAUCUCCCCUACUCUCAGCUCUCUGGCCAUGACACUCAGUCAUAGCCCGCAUGGCGUAGUGGCGUCCUCUGACCCUGGGCAGCAGAGCGUUGGUAGAAGUCCUAUGUGUCUAGACAAAAGAUUGGUUAGUUUUUUCGAAAGCGAGUGUUCCAGGUCUGACUCAACCUGACUGAGAGCCAAGAAAGAGAUGAUAAGGCUGAUGGAAAAGAUCUCCUUAAUGAACGGCAAUAAAAAACAGCCCAAAGGUGAAGGCACGCAAUGGCCUUGGCGUUUCCUGCGGCUGCGGCCCCAGACAGGCUCUUGAAAGCGCUCAAGGAUAAGAGGUAGGAAGGCCAUUUUAUUUCCCCUCUGCUACUUGUAUUUUAACACUUUCCUGCCUCUCACGCUAAUCUCCAUUCCCCACACCUCAUGCUCCAAACAGUCGCCCUUUAGUUUUAGGGGGUAAAUAUUAUCCCUCUUGAGUGGGAUAAGAUGUCUAGGUCACACAGCCCACAGGAAUGGAGACUAUUCAGUCAACUUUCCUGGUGGUCCCUGUUUUAACCCUUUCAACCUCAAUGCAUUCAUUUAUAAAAUGGUUGGAAAGACGAGCCUAUGAUGUCACCACGAGGACUGAGAGUUUAAACAACGGGUUAUAAAUGAUAUGGAAUGUUGGCUAUUAAAGAGGAAAAUUCUGCUAUGAUUUCCUAAGCAUCCCAGGUGGCCAUUCCCCAAGGUGGAGGAGUUGUCACCUUAUGGGCACUUAAGGAACCUCACUUCAGGGGACCACCAAUGUAAUGGUAAUCAGGCAGGGUUUUUUUGUCUUCCCAGAAAUAAGAAAUAUAAACAAGGUUUAAAUUAGUAGCCAACAGACAUACUUUGCUCUCAAUUUUAAUCAGAAAAAUUUAAAAAACAAAGACACGUCUAACCUUUUAAAAACACUCUGUAAUUAUGAAGCCCUUCCAAUAUAGUGAGUGAAAAAUAGAUCUCAUUUAGGUCUCCUUUCUCUCUCCAAUGAUCCUUGUGAGGUGAGUAAGACAGUUCCUUCUAUUACGGACAGGAAUUUGAGGCUCAAAGAAAUUAAACCUCUGGCUCAAGACCGUACACCGAGCAGGUGGCAAACAGAGGUUUUGACCCAAUGGCUUUGAUUUCAGGUCCAGUGAUAUCUCUUCUUUAUUUACUGCCUCUGGACCCCAGAAUCCGUGCUCCUGCAGUAAGAAACAGCUCAAUCAAUGGAGGCGUCUGCUAUGAUUCCCCAUGGCAUCCUGAUACGCUUUGGAAGACAGCAGUGAAAGCAAGAUUUUUUUCCACUUAGUAUCCAGGAGGGCAACUCAGAUCCUUAAAGGAGCUCCUGAUUUUCACCCACGGGCUGGGAAUUCGAUGCACGCCCCGAAGAUUCUAAAAGGGAUUAGACCAGAACUUGGGCUCAAGUUCUUGUCUAGGGCAGGUGGAGGCGGCUGAGCUACGUGAAAAAGCACUGGACCUGGGCUCAGGAAAUCGGCUUAGAGUCUCCUUGCUGCCACUUGUCAUUUGGAUGGAUGUAAUUUCUCUGAGACUCAAAUUUCUCACAUGCGAAAUGGUGAUAAUUCUACUUUGACUCUGAGGAGCGAAGGAUAUCGUUGAAAAGUGUGUAAACUGUAAAGCACCAUACGAAUGAUUUUCAUCGCGCACCUGAGUCACCAUGGAGAUUAAAAAUAAUCCUGAGCCCGUGCACAUCUGUCUUGCACUGCACCUCUGAUCUGAGUUACAUGAGGACAGGGCCUUCUCUUCAGGGGUUCCAGCCGCCCACCUCCACCAGGCUCAGAUCAUUGGCAGAGAUGGGGUGGCUUCUGGCCCAUUUUCUGCAGUCCAAGUGCUCACCCAUGGCUGCCUCACUGUCACUCCCUCGGCUCCCGGGAACAGGCU
rnacentral:lncRNA from 1 species